rnacentral:lncRNA from 1 species
CUUUGAGCAAGAGGACAAACCUGGGUAGGGAUCUCUAUGAUGUUUUCUGCGUUGCCCGUGGACGUUCAUCUUUCUGAUUUGUUAGCUGAAGAUGAGGAUCUGGAGCAGGAGCUCGGAGUGCCAUUGUUCCAUGGGCAGAUGUGCAGCAGAGAUUAGCAUUAGGAAGACAAGCAGGGCCUUCAGUAGGCAUAAGGUGAUGAGGUUCAUGCCGUUGGAUCCCACGGGUGCCCUGGGGAAGAGAUGGUUGGGAAGUCUGAGAGGAAGCAGGAGAGCUUUCGGAGCACAUGGAUGCCGUCCAGAAUGGAGAUGGUUGUGGCUCGGAAGAAAAAGAAAUCACCCAGCUCGGAGUCAGGAUACAUUUGGAGGUCCAGGCCGCCGAGUUUGCUGGUGGGGAAGAUAGGCACCAGAAAGGAAAGAGGACAUCCAGGGCAAUUUCUUCUGCCCCCCAGCCAAUCCGUACAUUGUCCAGAGGGUCUUGCUCUGUCAUCCAGGCUGGCGCGAUCUCGGCUCACUUUGACCUCUGCCUCCUGGGUUCAAGCGAUUCUCCUGUCACAGCCUCCUGAGCAGCUGGGAUUACAGGCCAAGCCUACUGCUGUUAGAAAACAUAUUUAGAAAUCACUUGGUUCUUCCUUGCCUGAACAUCAUCUAUUUAGUUAGCUUGUGUUGUUUAGAUGUGCUUCAGAUCUCAAAAAAAUAAAUUAUGUUAUUUGAAA